rnacentral:rRNA from 1 species
GGGUUGUGAGGUUAAGCGACUAAGCGUACACGGUGGAUGCCCUGGCAGUCAGAGGCGAUGAAGGACGUGCUAAUCUGCGAUAAGCGUCGGUAAGGUGAUAUGAACCGUUAUAACCGGCGAUUUCCGAAUGGGGAAACCCAGUGUGUUUCGACACACUAUCAUUAACUGAAUCCAUAGGUUAAUGAGGCGAACCGGGGGAACUGAAACAUCUAAGUACCCCGAGGAAAAGAAAUCAACCGAGAUUCCCCCAGUAGCGGCGAGCGAACGGGGAGCAGCCCAGAGCCUGAAUCAGUGUGUGUGUUAGUGGAAGCGUCUGGAAAGGCGCGCGAUACAGGGUGACAGCCCCGUACACAAAAAUGCACAUAUUGUGAGCUCGAUGAGUAGGGCGGGACACGUGGUAUCCUGUCUGAAUAUGGGGGGACCAUCCUCCAAGGCUAAAUACUCCUGACUGACCGAUAGUGAACCAGUACCGUGAGGGAAAGGCGAAAAGAACCCCGGCGAGGGGAGUGAAAAAGAACCUGAAACCGUGUACGUACAAGCAGUGGGAGCACGCUUAGGCGUGUGACUGCGUACCUUUUGUAUAAUGGGUCAGCGACUUAUAUUCUGUAGCAAGGUUAACCGAAUAGGGGAGCCGAAGGGAAACCGAGUCUUAACUGGGCGUUAAGUUGCAGGGUAUAGACCCGAAACCCGGUGAUCUAGCCAUGGGCAGGUUGAAGGUUGGGUAACACUAACUGGAGGACCGAACCGACUAAUGUUGAAAAAUUAGCGGAUGACUUGUGGCUGGGGGUGAAAGGCCAAUCAAACCGGGAGAUAGCUGGUUCUCCCCGAAAGCUAUUUAGGUAGCGCCUCGUGAAUUCAUCUCCGGGGGUAGAGCACUGUUUCGGCAAGGGGGUCAUCCCGACUUACCAACCCGAUGCAAACUGCGAAUACCGGAGAAUGUUAUCACGGGAGACACACGGCGGGUGCUAACGUCCGUCGUGAAGAGGGAAACAACCCAGACCGCCAGCUAAGGUCCCAAAGUCAUGGUUAAGUGGGAAACGAUGUGGGAAGGCCCAGACAGCCAGGAUGUUGGCUUAGAAGCAGCCAUCAUUUAAAGAAAGCGUAAUAGCUCACUGGUCGAGUCGGCCUGCGCGGAAGAUGUAACGGGGCUAAACCAUGCACCGAAGCUGCGGCAGCGACGCUUAUGCGUUGUUGGGUAGGGGAGCGUUCUGUAAGCCUGUGAAGGUGUGCUGUGAGGCAUGCUGGAGGUAUCAGAAGUGCGAAUGCUGACAUAAGUAACGAUAAAGCGGGUGAAAAGCCCGCUCGCCGGAAGACCAAGGGUUCCUGUCCAACGUUAAUCGGGGCAGGGUGAGUCGACCCCUAAGGCGAGGCCGAAAGGCGUAGUCGAUGGGAAACAGGUUAAUAUUCCUGUACUUGGUGUUACUGCGAAGGGGGGACGGAGAAGGCUAUGUUGGCCGGGCGACGGUUGUCCCGGUUUAAGCGUGUAGGCUGGUUUUCCAGGCAAAUCCGGAAAAUCAAGGCUGAGGCGUGAUGACGAGGCACUACGGUGCUGAAGCAACAAAUGCCCUGCUUCCAGGAAAAGCCUCUAAGCAUCAGGUAACAUCAAAUCGUACCCCAAACCGACACAGGUGGUCAGGUAGAGAAUACCAAGGCGCUUGAGAGAACUCGGGUGAAGGAACUAGGCAAAAUGGUGCCGUAACUUCGGGAGAAGGCACGCUGAUAUGUAGGUGAAGUCCCUCGCGGAUGGAGCUGAAAUCAGUCGAAGAUACCAGCUGGCUGCAACUGUUUAUUAAAAACACAGCACUGUGCAAACACGAAAGUGGACGUAUACGGUGUGACGCCUGCCCGGUGCCGGAAGGUUAAUUGAUGGGGUCAGCGCAAGCGAAGCUCUUGAUCGAAGCCCCGGUAAACGGCGGCCGUAACUAUAACGGUCCUAAGGUAGCGAAAUUCCUUGUCGGGUAAGUUCCGACCUGCACGAAUGGCGUAAUGAUGGCCAGGCUGUCUCCACCCGAGACUCAGUGAAAUUGAACUCGCUGUGAAGAUGCAGUGUACCCGCGGCAAGACGGAAAGACCCCGUGAACCUUUACUAUAGCUUGACACUGAACAUUGAGCCUUGAUGUGUAGGAUAGGUGGGAGGCUUUGAAGUGUGGACGCCAGUCUGCAUGGAGCCGGCCUUGAAAUACCACCCUUUAAUGUUUGAUGUUCUAACGUGGACCCGUGAUCCGGGUUGCGGACAGUGUCUGGUGGGUAGUUUGACUGGGGCGGUCUCCUCCUAAAGAGUAACGGAGGAGCACGAAGGUUGGCUAAUCCUGGUCGGACAUCAGGAGGUUAGUGCAAUGGCAUAAGCCAGCUUGACUGCGAGCGUGACGGCGCGAGCAGGUGCGAAAGCAGGUCAUAGUGAUCCGGUGGUUCUGAAUGGAAGGGCCAUCGCUCAACGGAUAAAAGGUACUCCGGGGAUAACAGGCUGAUACCGCCCAAGAGUUCAUAUCGACGGCGGUGUUUGGCACCUCGAUGUCGGCUCAUCACAUCCUGGGGCUGAAGUAGGUCCCAAGGGUAUGGCUGUUCGCCAUUUAAAGUGGUACGCGAGCUGGGUUUAGAACGUCGUGAGACAGUUCGGUCCCUAUCUGCCGUGGGCGCUGGAGAACUGAGGGGGGCUGCUCCUAGUACGAGAGGACCGGAGUGGACGCAUCACUGGUGUUCGGGUUGUCAUGCCAAUGGCACUGCCCGGUAGCUAAAUGCGGAAGAGAUAAGUGCUGAAAGCAUCUAAGCACGAAACUUGCCCCGAGAUGAGUUCUCCCUGACUCCUUGAGAGUCCUGAAGGAACGUUGAAGACGACGACGUUGAUAGGCCGGGUGUGUAAGCGCAGCGAUGCGUUGAGCUAACCGGUACUAAUGAACCGUGAGGCUUAACCUUACAACGCCGAAGCUGUU